rnacentral:misc_RNA from 1 species
CGCAUCGUAAAGGCCCUUUCCAAGCCUCUUCCAUCUUGUAUCUUCUCCAUUAUCUCACCUUUUACGCUCCGAGUUUGAUCUCGAGCCUGCCAGGCAAACCCAGAAUACUAUUCCAGUCAAGGAUCCAAAUGGCAUCUGCAUUCUCGGUGCAAACGUUGCAUAACCAUCGUAUUGUGGUUAAGGGUAGGCUUGGUUUAGAUGUUACAAAUAUGAGUAGGCCAUGUAAGAUAUCUGCAGCGACUUUGAGUUGGGCUGGAAGAGCAUUGACGUCAAGAUCUCACUAUGCAUUGAGUUUCCCCAUCACACAGCUUUCUAAAGCACCUGCUGUUAAGCACUGGAGAAUGGCGUGUGUCAACUCAAUGGCAAACGUGACUUCUUUAUCCUAUCUCACUACUUGGCAUUUUGUUUUAUUAUGAUAUCAGAUUUCUGCCACAUGAAGUUGAAGAUAGAAUUUUGACAUCUGGACAUCUUAAGAUCUGAAUUCAUUUCUUUGCUGUAUAUGCUAGGUUGAAUGAUGCUGUAGAUUAUAGAGUUGUAACUGCUGUAGAUAACAGAGAUUGUGGUCUAUGUAUUUCCUAGCUUCUCAUAGGUGAUUUUCAUUGACUUUUGUGCUUGGUCUCAAAUCAAUGAAACUAGUUAUGGAAUUAACCCAGAAUAGGAAGGGAGCUGAUAGUCUUUCCAAUUGAAUUUGCUCAAUCUGGAGUAAAUCAACUAUAGGAAUAGGAACUUAUAUUUCACUUUCUAGCCCAAGAUUGUAGUUUCUGGCUUAAAAAUAUUCGGAUGGAUCUGUUAUUAGGGGUGUUCGGUUCCAGUUCAGUUUAGGAUUUGCCUAGGAAUCGGAACCGAACCGGAAUUUUGAAAUUUCGGAACGGUUCCGGUUCGAUUUUUCAUUGUUUCGGUUUCAGUUCGGUAC